rnacentral:rRNA from 1 species
UUGGUGGGUAUGGCCACAUGCUUACGACGGGUAGCCGGCCUGAGAGGACGACCGGCCACAUUGGGACUGAGACACGGCCCAGACUCCUACGGGAGGCAGCAGUGGGGAAUCUUGCGCAAUGGGCGAAAGCCUGAUGCAGCGACGCCGCGUGAGGGAUGACGGCCUUCGGGUUGUAAACCUCUUUUACCAGGGACGAACCCAAAGUGACUGGACGUGCAUAAGAAGCACCGGCCAACUACGUGCCACCAGCCCCCGGCCGGGCCG